ensembl:lncRNA
UCCUGGCCAAAGGGCUGAACCCGUGCCAUAGUAGCAACCUGAGCCACAGCAGUGACAAUGCCAGACCCCUCAACGGCAGAGCUACCAGGGAACUCCUAAUUCUUUUCAAAAGAAUUACCUACUCGAGAACCUGAAUAUCUUGGCUCAUGGCUGCUAAGAAAACGCACUCUGACGUGCACUCGGACACACUCAGUUCCACCGGCACAGCUCCUGUGUGGGGAUCCAGACACCGGCCAGCAGUACCCAAGUCCUCGGGGGAACAGAACCCAGCUGGCAUCCCACGGGGCAGGAUGUGAAGGAGGUGGGCAGUACCAGCUGCGGGUUGCUGGUCGUCCUCGGGAAUUUCGAGUCAUUACAAAGAGGAAGAUCUUCCCCAGGCUCGCUGCCCGAAUAACCCUGGGUCUUCCCAGACUUCCAACGCUCCUGCUGGACAGAAUAAGUAAAAUGUCUGAUAUUUUCCUUUUGAAAGCACUAGGAACAGCUCGAGGAUUUGCAGGGCGGAAUGAAAGAGGAGCUGUCACGGAGUUCCUUAGGACUCACAGCUUGAAAGGAAAGAGGAGGCCCACAGGGGGCCUGCAGACCAAGCCCAGCAGGGGAGACCGAGCACUUCCACAGCCCAGGGGGUGGGACCAGAGCCCUUAAAGCCACAGAUCUCCUCUGUGGGCGACCCUCGCAUGAAUCCAUUCACACCAGUCACCCUUGGAGACUGCUAUUUAUGCUAAAGAAAUGUAUCCCACUCCAUUGUAUGUUUCUUGUCCCGGGUUCUCUUGGAUCCCUUGUUUACGGCCUUGGUCCCAUAUUGUGAGCGGUGGCAUGGACAGGGCAUUUGAGAGGGCAGGGAUGGCUAAUGAUGGGUCUGUUAGCCCUGCAGUCAGUCUUUCCUUUGUGAGCCAAAACCAAUUUGGGUGCAUUUGCUUAAAAAAAAAAAAAAAAAAAAAAAAAAAAAAGCUAAACCCCAUUUGAGGGUGAAGAAAUGCUAGUUGUGUUCCGUUCCCUUUGACUAGGGGGAUAAAAAAAUCCCUCUGGAAGAAACUCAAAACUUUCUCCUAUUUGUUUAUAAUCCAUUCUUUGGAUUGAAAUACAUAUCCAAUUAUCUCAGGUAUAGGUGCAAAUGCCACAGCUGUGGCAUCUUAAGAUGGGAAGGAGCUUAAAAAAACAGGGAGCCUUUUCAUCACUAGAGAGAUGCUAAUUUUUAUCUCUCAGAAAGUAAGGGGAAGCCCCUUCUGAAAUGUUUUCUUUUGAGGCAGAACUUAAACGUACGCUCCCGCUUUCAUGAAUGCUGUGAGCCGAAUCCUUAUAAAUCCUUUGAGUUGACAGAUCAAUUAUUCCUUCUAACAGCUAAUGAACUAAUAACCCUUGGAAAUUUCUCCUUCCCUGGGCUUAAAAUGGGGGGGGAGGCAUUAAGGGGGGAAAAAAGAAUCAAUUAAAGACUACAUAUCACUAAAAAAGUUAAAUUCAUAAUAGCUUUUUUAAAAAGAGCUGCGUUUUGUUGGAGAGCCGUGAUUUUUAAAUUACAAACAUGUCAAAUCAUCUUGUAUUUUAUAAACAUCAUAAAUAUCCUUAAAAAAAAAAAAACAAAAGCCUUCAUUUCAGAGUGUGUCCAGAGAAGGGAACUGAGGAAGUAGAAAAACACAGACGAGGAGAAACAAGAAAACAUACGUGAGAACGAUGGAGUCACGAGCCCCCGCUCGGCAGAAGGCACUGAGGUGGGCACGCGGGGAACGAGACGGGGGGCAGGACAUACAGAACAGGAGAGAACGGGAGAGGGCAGAGAAAGGCAGAAGCGACUGUGCCGUAGAGGAUGCGCCAGGCCAGGACCAGGGACAAAGGAAGUGGGUACAGAGCCCUGUGCUGAUGGAAGGGGCACUGGGAGGAGCUGGCCGUGAGCACGGGCUGCGCAACCAAGAGGUGAGGCCUAAGGGGAACACGGAGGGCCAGGGCAGGUGGCAGAAGGGGAGCUGGAAGAGCAGGAACGCACAUGGGCCCUGGAGCGUGUGCUGGUCCCCAGAAUGAGAUGGGCCUGCUGGGCCAGCAAGACGGGGAGGCAGCAACCCCACAUGGGGAGAAAAGGUCGGGGAGUUUCAGCAAGGAGAAGACCGGAGCCCUGGGAAGCUGAGCCAGUAGCUUGCUCCAGGUCCUAUGGCAUCUUGCACACGCCAGUGUACCUCUGUGUGACACAAAGUCUGUGUGUGGGGUUUUUGUUGUUGUUUUUUCCCCCAGGGAUGCACCUGCAGCAUGUGGAAGUUUCCAGGCUAGGGGUCAGAUCAGAGCUGCAGCUGCCAGCCUACACCACAGCCACGCCAGACUCGAGCUGCCUCUGCAACCUAGGCCGCAGCACGGGGGAACACCAGAUCCUUGACCCUCUGAGCGAGGCCAGGGAUCCGACCUGCAUCCUCUCGGACACCAUGUCAGGCUCUUAACCCGCUGAGCCACGACGGGAACUCCCCAUGUGUUUUGUUUUGAAUUAAGGAACUAGAGCCCGGGGGUGGUCUGGCUAGUGGCUGGGGGAGCAAACGCUCCUUCCUUCCUGUAAUGUGUUCUUGAAGGUCAAAGCCAACAGCUUAUUUUCACACUGAGUCAGCAGUCUUUUUUCCACAUCCACGGUUCUGGAGAUGCUGCCCUGAGAGCGGGGGUUCCAGGGGAGGCCACACAGCUCUUCUCCUGGAAGCGCCUGGUACGGAGGCAGCGGAACUCAAGAGUCACAAGACCUGACCACACAGCUGCCCUGUUCCCCGGGCCCUGCCCUGCUGUCAAACGGGGGAUCACGACCCCACCUCCCGUGGUGGGAAGGAAAGGCAAUCACACCGACAAAUCUGAAUCCACUCACAAAUCCUCGCACAGGCCCCAGGACGCAACCAUGGACCCAUGGCCCUGCUCAGGUAAAGACAGGGCUGGCUCCCCAGGCAGGUGACCCGGGCAGUGACACAGGGCUCCAUGUUUAUAAAGACCCCCUAUUGUUGCCAUCCUGCUAUUCCUAGUAAUUUCUAAACAAGGGACCCUGCAUUGUUGUUGUUCACUGGGCCCCAGGCUUUACGUGGCUCCUCUCAGGUCAAUCUCGGUGGUUCACCGGGAGGCGUCCGGGGGGAGAGGGCGUCUCCAGCAAAUAACCCGCAGUGGAGCUGCGAGUCUGCAGCGGACACCAGUUAGUUUCUCAGCUGCUGUGCUUCUGAACACUUUUAUUUUUUUUUUUCCCAAACAAGGGAGGAAUCCUUAGCCAUCUGAGUCUUGGUAGGAGCCAAGGCCGGAAGGGCCACUGCUGGCCUUCCCUGGCCAUCCCGGGAGUCCCAGGCGCUGGGAGCAUGGAGAACGCAUUUUGGUAGAGGGGACAGCAACAUCAAUGCUCCGGCAUGGGAGAGGCAGCCCUCCUGGCUACAGGCCCGGUGGCCAGCGCGGGCGGUGCCCGCUAACGGCAGGCAUGGCAAGGAGACCCCCUCCUGCACGGCUCUGUGGUGGGGUUGCCCUGAUGGUCCCAGCCCCUGUGGUUUCUCCCCACGAACUGGCCUGCCACUCCAGCCUUCCCCAGGACUGAUUUUUCAAACUACUCAGUGUCCUUUUAAUAAACUCCUUUUAUACUUCAGUAAGCAGAGCUUACAGCUAAGAGCUUUUUCUUUUUCCUUGUUCUUUUUUGGCCACUCUGGGACCUAUAGAGGUCCCGGGCCAGGGAUCAGAGCUGAGCUGAAGGUGCAAUCUACACCGCAGCUGCAGCAACGCUGAAUCCUUUAAACCCACUGUUCUGGGCCAGGGAUCCCACCUUUGUCCUGGCACUGCAGAGAUGCCACCCAUCCUUGGUGCCACAGCAGGAACUCCCAAGAGCUUUUUCCUGAUAGAAAGCUGGACUCUGGUGGCAGAGCCUCCUCACCUGCCUGCUUCUCUCACAAGCAUCCUAUCUGAAGAAAUCAAUGUCUUACCUGUCGAAAAAAUAAAGCAAGCUGGACUCCGUUAUGGAAUCUACCCUGAAACUCCCUCAGCUGACAGAGAGCACGUGAGUCCUAGGUCAGAUGCUGCCGGGACACAAGCCCCCAGGGAGGACAGGAGUCCCUCCAUGGAAGGGACCUGGCAGGUCAUGGGGUCCACAUUCCUUCUGAAAGCAGGAAUCCUUCCAGAAUAACUCAAAGUCAAAGAAAGAUAGAAAUACAGAUCCUCCUGAUACCCAGAGGAUAUGCAACGCAAAAAGCCAAUACCCUGGGUGACAAAGCUCAAGACUGGCCACCUCCCAGUUAUACCUUUCCAGGUCACUGGUCAUCUCGGGCUUGCAAGGGUAUCCUUACCUGUCAUCACGCUGUCAGGGAUGGAGUUCAGGGAAAUUCCUUAUCACUCAUGGACCAAAGACGAAAUGUCACUCAGAGUAUGUCAUUAGGGUGGCCGCUGAGUUCCUACAGGAUUUCUAGAGCACGAAGGGGCUCAAGGGCUCUGGGAUCCUGAAAACCGAGGACCCGGUUUCCAAAGACUCCACACAAACGUAACGGCCACAGCAAAAACCCAGAAGCGUGGAACACAGAGACGCCGCUCCGGCAGGCGGUCAGGGGUGCCCCAGGUCAUUCCUCUCCGCCUUUCCAGGCGUGUUCUAUCAAUGGCAACAAAAUUCGACAUUUUGCCAAGGGUUGGGAGAGGAGGUGGAAAGAAAGCUCUGACAAGCUCAUUUCCCAACACUUGAACUGAACUCCUGGCUGAAACAGAAAUCACUAGAUUGUUGGCAUUACAGCUCUAUUUCGACGGUGCCACUUGGCUGGCCGGGUGAUUUUCCAGUCACUGGGUGAGUGACACUGGUUCCAUUAGCCUGUAAUAGCUGAGAGGCCCAAUUAUGAGGAGCCGUGCUGCAAAGCCCAAGAUGCAGCCCACCCAACUCUAAGGGCAGGCGUGGGAGCAGCGGGCAGAGAGGCACGGGGAUGACGGGGGCAAUGCUGAGCUGCUUCCGGCCCCGCAGGCCCCUCAGGCAGUCACAAGGCGGGUCUUUGGGAAAGACAUUUAAGGCCAAAGUAACAACGAGGGUCCCUCCCAUCCCGGCCAAGCAAGUGGCAACUGGACAGGGUAGCGACAGGCUGCCAGAUAUCACCCAUCAGGAGAGGCCAAGGGUGCAGCUAAGGCAGCUGUCAUGCAUUCAGGAGAGAAGAGACUGGCGGUCCUCCAGCUGAACGGGUGCGGGAGAGCGCGGGGGGCACUGGGCAUCCAGGAAACAAGGGCCGGGGCUGGGGCCCCAAGGGAGCCCGCUGCUGGUGAAGGUCCCGCUCGCUCGGAGGGGGUUGCAGGGGUGCGGGUACAGGAACCCCGGGAGGUCCUACAGCUUCAAAGGGGGAGGGAGGAGAUGGGCAUGGGGGGGGGCGGGGGGGGCGCCGCUGGCAGGCCGGCUGGGCAGGCUUUCCAGGGCGAGGAAAGGACUCACACCCAGGGCUUUAUGUGAAUUGAUCACCUCUUAUUAGUGUCUUUUGAAAUGCGAAUUAGCUGAUUAACCACUGCUCACAGCCUUCCCACUGUUCUUUAUCCCCCAGCAUUCAGCAACUUUGUUCUAAAUAGGCAAGGCCACAGUAGCCCACCAGGGGGAAAUUAUUCUCAAGGUUACGAGAACAGUGACCAGGCAAACCCUCUCCCCGGGCUGGGUGGAAGCGAAGUGGGGGUGAGACGGUGCCCGGAGCCCGGCCCGAGCGCUGGCUCCCAGGGCCGCCCGCCUCGUGGGUCAGCUGUCCAGCCCAUUCCAGAUGCUCCCCUAGCCUCGACCCCCUUUCCGCUUACUAGAGGAACUUGCUAAAAGGUCCAUGAGUCUCAGGUCCCCCAGGGAUGCCCGUGCACUGCGGUCGCUCUGUUUGGGGCCGGGGGCAACAAGGGGUGACCCCUGGCAGAGCCCCGUCCCCACUUGCUCCGGCCUCCAGUUUGGCAACACGGCACAAAGGCGGUGUGGCAUGUAUACACUUUCCAGGCUGAGCCCCUAUUCAGAGGGGGCUGCAGCUUGCGCGUAAUGGGCCCCCUACAGACAAAGCCAGCAAGUUUCUUAAUUAAGUCCGAGUGAAAGACAGAUCCUGCUCACAUCUUCAGAGGACCUUCCUACGGGACUUCAAAACCACCCUGCCCUGCCUAUCAAACCCGGGGCGCGAAGAACCGGCGGACCAUCCCCCCCCCCUUUUAAAUCUAGAAAGCCCCGUCUCCGGCGCCCACCCUCCGGCCGCUCUCGCUCUCCCUGCAAUUGUACACAUGCCUCUGGUUUAUACGAUGGGAAACAAAGGGACUUCUUGUGUGCGGGAGAAGCCCUCGGAGGGUCUGCAUUUCAUUCGGCCUUCCCCAAAGCAUGGCUGUCUAAAGAGCCCUUUAACUGGUUUCAUCUCGUUUACAUUUCCAUGAGCUAUCAAAGGGCGGGCUACAAACCCAGCCCGGGAGCACCGAAGGACCCGUCCUGGUGUCGCAGGAUAUGACCAAAAAUUCAUCAUUAGCUAAUUGCCUUUGCAAUAUACGCGAUUUUCACAGCCCUCCCCACUCGGCACUUUCUAUCCCGGCCCCGUUAACCCUCUCUCAGACAAAUCUUUCUGUUUUCUGGGCGUUGCCGGGGAGAAUGUUCUUUGCAAACAGAAACCAAUUACCCUGCAGCAGUAAGUCACCGGGAGUCCGAAUUGCUUUAAAUCCCCCGCCCCCCUUUAGCAGCUGCCCGGGGUGGGUGAGCGAGGUGGCUGCAAUAAUGAAGCUGCCGUGAAUACUUAAAGCAGCACCGAGGCCGGGGGUCCUGCGGGGAAAAUGAUGCUCAGAAAUCAAAGUGGGUUUUUGUUGCGCGAGGCUGAGCCAUUUCCCAAACUGCGCGCUCUGCUCCGCCUCGGCCUCGCCGCCCCGGUUCUCCCCCACGAGUCCCCGGCACCUGACUAGCUUGUAAAAGUGUCACCUCGCUGUUAAAAGUGCGAAACACGCCCCGUGUUUCCUCGCCUGUUUUCUUCUCCCUACACCGCGCCCCCGCCCCUUGCCUUUUUCCUUCUGCGAUUCUUUGCUUUCUCAUUAGAAAUGCCCAGCAACGUCUGGCAGACAAAGACACGACCGACAAAGUGUAUGGAAAGGGGGAAAAAAAUUAAAAAGGAAAAAAGUGCGGAGGACUUCCCCAUUCACUGAUCUCCCGAAUACAUUAAUAUCUGAAACUGUUGGCACAGCCUACAAUACUUGGGCGCCUAACAAUGCAAGCAAUGAUUCGAAGUCUGGGAUCUUCAAAUAAACCCCGGGGCUGUCAUGGCCACCAGGAAGGAGAAUAAUGGCCAUGUGAGCUGACCUUCAUUUUGCUGUUGCUUCAGACCUGACGGCUGGACCUCUGUGUUUGCUCGUUACUAGGAUUUCGUGGCUAAAAAAAUGUCCGCAUUUCCCAGGCAAUACAAGAGCCAGUUUAUUAGGUAAAUAAACCAGGCCUUCAGCCGUCUUUUCUGCUUCAUAAUGGACACGGGGUGAGUCAGAAUGAGGGCCGGGCUGGCGUCAGGGAGGGCGACGGAGAAGCAGCGACCUCCUCGUUUCUCCUUCCUCCAAAGCAGCCUGGACAAUGAGACCUGGUUGUAUGUGUCGUCUGUUCAAGGCACCGGCUCUGGGGACCUUAAGCAACAUCCGCCACGAGCGGAGGCGAAGGCCCCCCAAGUCUAGAACAAAAAUCUUCGCUUUCCUCCGCUCCAGAUCUAGAUCUCUGAUGACACGUCAUUCAUCCCAUGGUGAUGAGGAACCAGAGAGCAGUUUACUUUAUGGUGUAUUAUCUUUUUUAGGGCCACACCUGCAGCAUGUGGAGGUUCCCAGGCUAGGGGUCCCAUCGGAGGUGCAGCUGCAGGCAACGCCCGAUCCUUAACCCACUGGGCGAGGCCAGGGAUCGAACCUGCGUCCUCAUGGUUACUAGUCAGAUGCAUUACCGCUGAGCCAUGAUGGGAACUCCUGCAGAGGGGUUAAUAACACAUUCAAAGGGAGCUAAUGGCAUUCGAUUUCAUUCAUCUGUGCUAAUUACCUCAACGCGCUGAUCCAAACCACUCUCUGGGGACGACUUAGCGAUGUUAUAAAAGAAGUAAUGCAGAACCUGCUCCUUUUUCAGAGCAUCUCCAUCCAGAGGGCCUUCUGCCCAGACCAUCACGACCGGUAGUUCUUACAGUUACGUGUUUGUUGACUGUAUGCCAUCUCUUCCGCCACUCCGCCCCCACCCCCAGCACAGGGGUAACUUCCUCCCUUGUCUCACCCAGUCCAGCACCCAGAAUCCCAGACACGCCUGCAGAAAGGGGGUGAUGUUAUUUUUUGCCUGCCUUUGGGAAAAUGCACAGCUGCCACUCCCCAAAGGCAUGAGAUGCAGAACGUUCUGAGUGUCGUGUCCCUCCAUGAGCAUGAAAUGUAAGAGUUUCCUGAGGUUCCCAAAUUCCCAAUGAAAAUAGAUCUUAUAAUAAAUACCAACCAUAUCAAUGUAACAGAUAAUAAUUUAAAUGCUAGAAAGGUUUAGUCUUGCUUAAAGCAGGGGGUGAUGUAAAAAGAUAUUAAAGACACACUUUCUCAAAACAUUAAACAGCCGGGUAGCUCCGAUUCAACUCCUAGCCUGGGAACUUCCAUAUGUUGUGUGUGUGGCCCUAACAAAAGGCAAUGACAACAGAAAAGUUAUACAGCCACUAGUCACUGUUUUGGAAACUAUGUAAAGACAGAGACAUUUUUCAGAUUCUGGGGAGUGAGAAAAGCGAGUUACAUGGUAUGUAAUAUAUAAUCGCAAAGGACCUACCAAAGUCAUACAUGUAGACAUGCAAUAGGUAGGCACCCAAAAAAAGACUGGAAAGAUACACCUAAAAGGUUAAUAAUGAUUUUUUUGUAUGUAGUAGGUUUUUAUUUUGCUUAUAGUUCUUCAACCAUUUUACUCCAGGAAAUCUAUUCUAUUUAAAGCUUUUUUUUUAAAAAAAAAAAAAAA